AGCAGCCGCGGUAAUUCCAGCUCCAAUAGCGUAUAUUAAAGUUGUUGCAGUUAAAAAGCUCGUAGUUGAAUUUCGGGAUCAGUAGGUCGGUCGUGCCACUGGUAUGAACUGGUCUCACUGGUUCCUCCCUCUUGACGAACUGCAAUGCUAUUAAUUUAGUGUAGUAGGAAAUCAGGACUGUUACUUUGAAAAAAUUAGAGUGUUUAAAGCAGGCUUUGGCUUGAAUACAUUAGCAUGGAAUAAUGAAAUAGGACGUUCGAUCCUAUUUUGUUGGCUUCUAGGAUUGGCGUAAUGAUUAAUAGGGACAGUUGGGGGCAUUAGUAUUCAAUUGUCAGAGGUGAAAUUCUUGGAUUUAUUGAAGACUAACUACUGCGAAAGCAUUUGCCAAGGAUGUUUUCAUUAAUCAAGAACGAAAGUUAGGGGAUCGAAGACGAUCAGAUACCGUCGUAG
rnacentral:rRNA from 1 species